rnacentral:lncRNA from 1 species
GGGCAGAGGAAGAACGGCACUUCUGACAUCAGAGGCUCCAGCUGAAAGGUUCCAAAUCUAGGAGCUGGAGUCCAUCACUCACAGGAAGAGAAGAUUAGGACACAGAGAUACCAGAGAGGUCGUUCACAGAGGAAAGACCAUGUGAAGACGCAGUGAGAAGGUGGCCAUAUUCAAGCUGAGGAGAGAGGCCUCAGAAGAAACCAAUACUGCCAACGCCUUGGUCUUGGACUUCCAGCCUCCAGAACUGUCCUGGAUCAGAAGAUGCCUGACAAGAGGCCACUAUCAGCAGCAACAGCACAGUGGGGACAAACCUGAGACCUUGAUGGACCGUGGACACCAGCAGGAGAGACAGAGGAACUUGAAGUCUAAAUGGGCAGACAAGACCAACAUACACAAAGCAGAGAGUGGCACAAGAGCCAUGUCUGAUGCAACAGUGACUCAGGAGGAUCACUCUGACUCAGAAUGGCCAAGCAAAGGUAUUGGGAGGAAGUGGGAUAGAACUGAGCUUUGAAGACCGUGCUAAAAUAUUUACAGACUCCCCAGGUUAUCUCAAGUUCUCUCCAGGAAUUAGCUUCACCUCUUUGUGCUUUGGCUCCACAUCAGUUAAAUAGUGAUAACGUUUGAUCGUUAAGAACCAUGUAGAGAUGAAACAAUUUUCAAAGUUUUUAAAUUAAGUGUACUCAUUGCCACUCAAAGAUAAAUACCAUAUAAAUAUAAUAAUCAUCAUAUUGAGAAACAAAAUAGUAAUGAUGCAGAUACUCAUGUACUGUUUCAUGUUUGUGGUCUUUGAGGGGAGUUUUUACUCAAAUAUCCCUAGAUGAAUAAAUACAUAUGGUC